GGACUUCAUGAGUAUUCAAAAAAAUGAAACAGAAAUGAAAGGAAGCAAAAGAAUCCCCAGCGAAAAGAAAGGGUUCUUGCCAGGAAAGUGAAUCAAUGCGAAAACUAAGUUUUGGUCGAAUCGAGCCUCCUUCCUUCAACAGCUCCCGAUGCCAGAUGCUCAGGUACGGUUACAGUAAGAAGACAACUCUCUGUGAACCAGGAAAUGGGUCUUCAAACACAGACUCUGUCAGCACCAGCCUCCAGAACUGUGAGAAAUUAUCUUCUGUUGUGUUUAGGCCACUUAGACUGUGAUAUUCUGUUAGAGCAACCAAAACAGACUAAGACCCAGAGUAAAAGUCACCAUGGAUGAGGCAUCCAGUGGUGUUCAGAAGAAACAGACAUGUCGAUGUCCAUGCUGAUUCUCAUGACCUUACACAUCUACGUUUCAAUGCACAGACUCAGGCCAAGAAACAAGCGAUCUUAAAAUCUGUCACAAAGAAGUAAAGAAAUACAUAAAUACGGUGUGUGGCA